CGAACGGGUGAGUAAUACAUCGGAACGUGUCCUGUAGUGGGGGAUAGCCCGGCGAAAGCCGGAUUAAUACCGCAUACGAUCUACGGAAGAAAGCGGGGGAUCCUUCGGGACCUCGCGCUAUAGGGGCGGCGAUGGCAGAUUAGCUAGUUGGUGAGGUAAAGGCUCACCAAGGCUACGAUCCAUAGCUGGUCUGAGAGGAUGAUCAGCCACACUGGAACUGAAACACGGUCCAGACUCCUACGGGAGGCAGCAGUGGGGAAUUUUGCGCAAUGGGGGAAACCCUGACGCAGCAACGCCGCGUGGAGGAUGAAGUAUCUCGGUACGUAAACUCCUUUCGAUGGGGAAGAUAAUGACGGUACCUAUAGAAGAAGCCCCGGCUAACUUCGUGCCAGCAGCCGCGGUAAUACGAGGGGGGCAAGCGUUGUUCGGAAUUAUUGGGCGUAAAGGGUGCGUAGGCGGUUUGGUAAGUCUUGUGUGA
rnacentral:rRNA from 1 species